rnacentral:rRNA from 1 species
GUAAAGGGUGCGUAGGCGGCCUGUUAAGUAAGUGGUUAAAUUGUUGGGCUCAACCCAAUCCAGCCACUUAAACUGGCAGGCUAGAGUAUUGGAGAGGCAAGUGGAAUUCCAUGUGUAGCGGUAAAAUGCGUAGAUAUAUGGAGGAACACCAGUGGCGAAGGCGGCUUGCUAGCCAAAGACUGACGCUCAUGCACGAAAGCGUGGGGAGCAAAUAGGAUUAGAUACCCUAGUAGUCCACGCCGUAAACGAUGAAUACUAAGUAUUGGGGAAACUCAGUGCUGCAGCUAACGCAAUAAGUAUUCCGCCUGUGGAGUAUGCACGCAAGUGUGAAACAUAAAGGAAUUGACGGGGGCCCGCACAAGCGGUGGAGUAUGUGGUUUAAUUCGACGCAACGCGAAGAACCUUACCAGGCCUUGACAUCCCUUGCAAAGCUGUAGAGAUA